AGGCCCCAAAGUGGAAGGUCUAAUUAGACCCUAGAUGGCAAUCUGUCAGUAAAUCCACCAGGGCAUUAUCAUUUGCUGGGAUCACAUGGUCCAGAGUAUAAACAAUAAACACCGUCAGUCUACAUAGGAGAAUUAACCACCCAAGCCCUCAUACAUGGUUAUUCAAAACCAAGUUCAUCUACAUAUGCAUAGAACCUGAAUGGCACUAUAUCUAUGUGUGGAAGUAACAACCACUCUAUGUUAUUGUCAAUAGUGGAACCUACAUGGAUGUGAUGACACAUAUAUGACUGCGGUGCUACAUAUAAAUAAUCUUUAUGUUUUAUUGAAUUUAAAGUUAUGACAUGGUGACUUGCGGUUAUUAGACUGACUUUAUACUCUUUGACGGGACAUACAGCACUCUGAAUGAUUGUUUCGGACUGUAAACUUACCAAUCUGGACACAAACUGUGGUUCCAACU